rnacentral:rRNA from 1 species
UACAGGGGGUGCAAACGUUGCUCGGAAUCAUUGGGCGUAAAGCGCGCGUAGGCGGCUACUUAAGUCGGAUGUGAAAGCCCUUGGCUCAACUGAGGAAGUGCACCCGAAACUGAGUGGCUUGAGUACUAAAGAGGGUCGCGGAAUUCCCGGUGUAGAGGUGAAAUUCGUAGAUAUCGGGAGGAACACCGGUGGCGAAGGCGGCGACCUGGGUAGAUACUGACGCUGAGGCGCGAAAGCGUGGGGAGCAAACAGG